CAGAAAUCUCAAUCGACAAAAUGGAAAACCUGCAAUUUGUUUUACUUGAAGCUCAGGCUGAACGAAUCAAAAUAUUUAUGCAAAAUAAAAAUAUAAAUACAGAGGAAAUGUCAAGGUGAAAAUGAUCCAGAGAUUCAUUACACUGACUGUUGCAGCUUUCCUUUAUGUGAACUUGUGAAGACCUUGAUAUCUGAUGAAACUGCAAUUGGAUUUGAGCAUUUAGUUAUACAAUAUGAUAAAUAGGUAGCUUAUUUGCUUUGCAGGGUAUUUUGUUCCUGAUGUUAUAGUGGCAGCAAUAAUUGGACUGGUGACU
rnacentral:lncRNA from 1 species